rfam:Rhizobium sp. R1-200B2 contig_7, whole genome shotgun sequence.
CAGGCUUGCUGAAGCUCCGCAGCGGCGCCUGGGAUUUAUCCCGACACCGUGACCAAUUUCGGAGCUUGA